rnacentral:rRNA from 1 species
UCCAGACUCCUACGGGAGGCAGCAGUGGGGAAUAUUGGGCAAUGGGCGCAAGCCUGACCCAGCAACGCCGCGUGAAGGAAGAAGGCUUUCGGGUUGUAAACUUCUUUUAAGGGGGAAGAGGAGAAGACGGUACCCCUUGAAUAAGCCACGGCUAACUACGUGCCAGCAGCCGCGGUAAUACGUAGGUGGCAAGCGUUGUCCGGAUUUACUGGGUGUAAAGGGCGUGCAGCCGGGAGGACAAGUCAGAUGUGAAAUCCCGCGGCUCAACCGCGGAACUGCAUUUGAAACUGUUUUUCUUGAGUACCGGAGAGGUCAUCGGAAUUCCUUGUGUAGCGGUGAAAUGCGUAGAUAUACGGAGGAACACCAGUGGCGAAGGCGGAUUGCUGGACAGUAACUGACGCUGAGGCGCGAAAGCGUGGGGAGCAAACAGGAUUAGAUACCCCUGUA